AACGAACGCUGGCGGCAUGCCUAACACAUGCCAGUCGAACGAGACCUUCGGGUCUAGUGGCGCACGGGUGCGUAACGCGUGGGAACCUGCCCUUAGGUUCGGAAUAACUCCCCGAAAGGGGUGCUAAUACCGGAUAAUGUCUUCGGACCAAAGAUUUAUCGCCUUUGGAUGGGCCCGCGUUGGAUUAGCUAGUUGGUAGGGUAAAAGCCUCCCAAGGCGACGAUCCAUAGCUGGUCUGAGAGGAUGAUCAGCCACACUGGGACUGAGACACGGCCCAGACUCCUACGGGAGGCAGCAGUGGGGAAUAUUGGAAAAUGGGCGAAAGCCUGAUCCAGCAAUGCCGCGUGAGUGAUGAAGGCCUUAGGGUUGUAAAGCUCUUUUACCCGGGAUGAUAAUGACAGUACCGGGAGAAUAAGCUCCGGCUAACUCCGUG
rnacentral:rRNA from 1 species